CGGCGAACUCCGGUCAGCUGACACAUCCCUGCCAAUCUCCGGCAGACCCUCCCUCCCAGAUCCUCCUACUUCCUGGACAGCAUCCAUGUUGAAGGUCUGCCGGAGAUUGGCAGGGAUGUGUCAGCUGACCGG